UAGCGGCGGACGGGUGAGUAACACGUGGAUAACCUACCUAUAAGACUGGGAUAACUUCGGGAAACCGGAGCUAAUACCGGAUAAUAUUUUGAACCGCAUGGUUCAAAAGCGAAAGACGGUCUUGCUGUCACUUAUAGAUGGAUCCGCGCUGCAUUAGCCUAGUUGGUAAGGUAACGGCUUACCAAGGGCAACGCAUGCAUAGCCGACCUGAGAGGGUGAUCGGCCACAGCUGGAACUGAGACACGGUCCAGACUCCUACGGGAGGCAGCAGUAGGGAAUCUUCCGCAAUGGGCGAAAGCCUGACGGAGCAACGCCGCGUGAGUGAUGAAGGUCUUCGGAUCGUAAAACUCUGUUAUUAGGGAAGAACAUAUGUGUAAGUAACUGUGCACAUCUUGACGGUACCUAAUCAGAAAGCCACGGCUAACUACGUGCCAGCAGCCGCGGUAAUACAUAGGUGGCAAGCGUUAUCCGGAAUUAGUGGGCGUAAAGCGCGCGUAGGCGGUUUUUUAAGUCUGAUGUGAAAGCCCACGGCUCAACCGUGGAGGGUCAUUGGAAACUGGAAAACUUGAGUGCAGAAGAGGAAAGUGGAAUUCCAUGUGUAGCGGUGAAAUGCGCAGAGAUAUGGAG
rnacentral:rRNA from 1 species